rnacentral:lncRNA from 1 species
GUUAGAGUCUGCUUUUCCUCCCCAAUACUUGGAAGCAAGGCCAUGGGAGAUCAGGGAAGGGAUGAGGAGGGCUUGAUCCCAGGUGUGUGUCCCAUGGCACGGAGAGCUGAGCACUGCGAGGCCCCCCUGUUGAUGUGGCUCCAGAGAAUGUGGCGGAGGAUGCUCACAGCUGCCCAGCACCGCAGCAAGGCUCCGUGUUGGGAAUCUGCUCUGCCAGCACGUUUUUAGUGCUUCCUCUCUCCAGGACAGAAGUACAGCCCUGCAAACCCGCUCCUGCUGCUCCAGUACUUCCCCUUCUGGAUGGCUCCUGAAAGCAGGGAAACUGCCACAGUGAGGGGAAAAGGCAUUUUCUGUGGUCCCAGAAGACAUUUUGUGCAAGUAAAAUGCAGAGUUUAGAUUAAUUGAUGAUUUCUUAAAUAAAAAUCAGCUUACAUGAUCUUUUUGUGGGUUU